rnacentral:rRNA from 1 species
UACGUAGGUGGCAAGCGUUAUCCGGAUUUACUGGGUGUAAAGGGCGUGUAGGCGGGUCUGCAAGUCAGAUGUGAAAUCUCCGGGCUUAACUCGGAAGUGUCAUCUGAAACUACGGAUCUUGAGUACUGGAGAGGAUAGUGGAAUUCCUAGUGUAGCGGUAAAAUGCGUAGAUAUUAGGAGGAACACCAGUGGCGAAGGCGGCUAUCUGGACAGUAACUGACGCUGAGGCGCGAAAGCGUGGGGAGCAAACAGGAUUAGAUACCCCCGUAGU